rnacentral:rRNA from 1 species
GCAAGUCGAGCGCGAAAGUUCUUCGGGACGAGUAGAGCGGCGGACGGGUGAGUAACGCGUAGGAAUCUACCUGGUAGUGGGGGACAACUUGGGGAAACCCAAGCUAAUACCGCAUACGCCCCACGGGGGAAAGUGAGGGACCUUCGGGCCUCACGCUAUCGGAUGAGCCUGCGUAGGAUUAGCUAGUUGGUGAGGUAAAAGCUCACCAAGGCGACGAUGGAUAGCCGGCCUGAGAGGGUGAUC